GCGAGUUUGAAGAGGGAGUCAGCGACGAGGCCGGCGCGGGUGAGGGUACCGAAUAGUGCGAAGAACUGCUCCACUGCCUGUUGCGGGUUAUCAUCCUCCGCGGAGGAUCGUAACUCGGCGUACAUGCUGCUCAAAACAGCUCUUCCUCAGAACCUUUGAUCCUGACUUGAAAGCUGGAACCAAAUUUCCAAUCAAAGUCCCGGCAGAUGAUUUCCUACCAGCUGUGGUUGCUUUUAAAACAGAAGCUGCCCUCCCCAACAAUCCAAACCUUGAAGGUGACGGGAAACAGUCCGAUGGAGAUGAAGGGACUGACCUCAGAUUCAAUGAUCUUGACCUCACAUGGUGGACUUCCUUCUUCUCCACAUCACUACUAGUCAAUUGUUUUGACAGGGAAGAGCUCGAUCGACUGAAUGACGACUUCUUCUUUUCCACCACCACAACUUUGGAAACGUCCUCCAAUUUCCCAGACUUGUUCUUCUCCUUUGCAGAUAGUAGAUCAUCAUUUGCAUUGCCACUACAGCCAUGAGACACCUUUGAUUUCUCGCUGCCAAGCAACCCCGAGGAACAAGUGGCCACAAGAUCUUGAGGGUUGCCAACAAAAGGAUGACGACCAGGGAGAGGCAUGACACCUCUAAGAAUUGGCACAGGGGAGGCUGCCUCGAGGCGGUCGACAUGGAUGAAUUGGCCUAGUUGGAUUUCAUCACUCAAGAUGAGGUCCACUUGCUCAUCAGGUAAGGAGACAAAGGUAGCAUGGGAGGAAUCAGACACCCUGAGGUAGAAUCCCUGGUUCGGAUACAGCUCUCCACCGGCAAGAGCAGGGACAAUGCUGACGACCUGGAGGACAGAUGAGCAAUGCUCAACGCCAACUUUCGCAUCAGCGUUCAUGUGCCGGAGGAGCUUGAGGAGAACACCAGGGACCAACACAGCAGCCAUUUCACCUCCGAUACAACCAAACUCCUGCAAUCACAUGCCCAAAUUCCACCUUAGAAUGGGAAGUUCAGCAGCUACGGUAUCCAAUCCGGGCAAAAAGGAGCGAAUUUUGACAGGAGGAGCUCGAUGAACAAGACCGUAAGGGAAAGAAGACGUUGACUAUGAACAGAUCAAGAGAUUCCACAGAAACGCAGUUCGACCAUGGAAACCGAGAGUUGGAAGCAGCAAAUCAACAAAAGAUCAAACCUUUGACCUUGGGGGUUUCAUUUAUAGUGCUCACGAGGACAGGAUGACCAAAGAAAGACAUACAACGAAAGAAAAAGUUGGCAUUUUGCUUCCUUUCAAGCAUUACGUGGUUCGUCUCCGAUUUCAACAGGGGGAGAAAAACGAAACGAUCGAAGUCAAACACCGUCACAACAAGCAGUACCCGAUCAAAGCAAGUAUUUUCACUCUACGGGCCGUCAAAAGGGAGGGCAAAGAUUAACCUUUCAGCAAACCAGACGCCGAGGGCUCUCCGGCUUCAUCGAAGGAUGAUGCUUCCGCUAAUCAAAUCAGAGCUCUGGAGACGGAGCAGGUGAUGAUUGCUCUGCCGCAGCUGCAGCGCUGGGGGUUACUCUGACAGUCCACCUGUUAGUCCUUGUUCGUGGAUUCCUAUCAGGAAAGAGGAGGGUGGGUCUUCGCUCUCCGGGUGAGAGGGAAUGAAUCGAGAACAGAAGCGAUCAAAUGGCAAUAAUUACAACGAGCGCGGUGUUGGCGUCGCACCGAUGUUUGUAAGCUUAUUAUUACUCUCUCUGGUUGGGGCACUCAAUCAUUCAACUCAUCCAUAGUUACUAUGGCAAUAAAAUACCAUACAUACAUACUUACAUA